UUUCCGUAGGUGAACCUGCGGAAGGAUCAUUACUGAGUUAGGGUCUUAAUGGCCCGACCUCCAACCCUUUGUUUAAUCUACCAUGUUGCUUUGGCAGGCCCGCUUAGAAAUGGGCCGCCGGAGACCUUUGAGUCUCUGGUCAGUGCCUGCCAGUAGCCUUUCUAAAUUCAUUUAUAACCGUGUCUGAAUAUACAAAGAAAAAUUAAAAUAAAACUUUCAACAACGGAUCUCUUGGUUCUG
rnacentral:misc_RNA from 1 species